rnacentral:sRNA from 1 species
UUGACAUCACCGUUGCUGUGGCUUAUUUUCAGGAGUGAGGGUUAGGGAAGGUUUCCCCUCCCCCCUGGUGUCUUAGUAAGCCGGUAAGCUAAUGACUAAGAGUAUCACCAGUAUGAUGACGUACUUCAUCAUAACCCUUUCCUUAU